GUCUGAGAGGAUGAUCAGCCACACUGGGACUGAGACACGGCCCAGACUCCUACGGGAGGCAGCAGUGGGGAAUAUUGGACAAUGGGCGAAAGCCUGAUCCAGCAAUGCCGCGUGAGUGAUGAAGGCCUUAGGGUUGUAAAGCUCUUUUACCCGGGAUGAUAAUGACAGUACCGGGAGAAUAAGCUCCGGCUAACUUCGUGCCAGCAGCCGCGGUAAUACGAGGGGAGCUAGCGUUAUUCGGAAUUACUGGGCGUAAAGCGCACGUAGGCGGCUUUGUAAGUUAGAGGUGAAAGCCCAGAGCUCAACUCUGGAAUUGCCUUUAAGACUGCAUCGCUUGAAUCCAGGAGAGGUGAGUGGAAUUCCGAGUGUAGAGGUGAAAUUCGUAGAUAUUCGGAAGAACACCAGUGGCGAA
rnacentral:rRNA from 1 species